AUGACACAACAGAAAAAAACUGGCGGUCUCGGGUUCAGAGACUUGCAUGGGUUUAACUUGGCCAUGCUUGCUAAGCAGGCAUGGAGGAUACUCACUGAACCAGAGUCCCUCUGUGCACGGGUGUUGAAAGCCAGGUACUUCCCGAACACCUCGAUCCUGGAGGCACAAGCUAACCAAGGGAUCUCUUACACUUGGAGAAGUAUUCUCAAAGGGGUUGAGUUGUUGAAAGGGGGACUUAUCUGCAGAAUCGGGGAUGGAACCAGUGUUAAAAUUUGGUCUGAUCCUUGGCUGAAUAGAGAGGGUUCUCGGCGACCGAAGACAGAGCGGGGUAGAUGCUUGCUGACUAGGGUCUGUGAACUGAUCGACCCGGAUACAGGCUCAUGGGAUGAACAGCUGGUGCGAUACAUUUUCGUAAGCGAAGAUGCAAAGGUGAUCCUGUCUACACCCAUAAGACAUGACUUUGAUGACUUCUACGCAUGGUUUUUUGAUAGCAAAGGUACAUUCACGGUGCAGUAUGCAUACAAGCUGUAUAUUAGAUUGCGUGAUGCGGGGCUGCUGUCCACAUCCCACCCUGUUGAUGGUGACAUCGAUUGGAGGAACAUAUGA
rnacentral:rRNA from 1 species